rnacentral:other from 1 species
AUAUGCCUGUUCCGGACGCGGAGAUUAAGAACCCUUGAGCCAACGACCAUAUAUUGGGAGCCAAGUCCGGAUGGGGCUGACAUGUCCACCAAGUAUUUUGGUGGAAAGUCAAAACUAUCCGGGGAGGCACCCACUUUAAAAUAAGGGUCUCAAAGGGUAAAAUCUCUACGCCGGAACGGGUUUUUA